rnacentral:lncRNA from 1 species
CUCUUCUUUCUUUCCACAAUCAUUCCAAUCCCAAACCCAAGUAAGAACCCCGACCUAGUCCUAUCUGAUUUGAAAGUGAAAAUCAGAACUACUCAAGAUUUUAAUCAUGUCGGCUCAUACCUAACACGUUCUCCCCAAGCAUAAUCCGGUAAAAGACCUACCACUCAAAAAUUAUCAAUUGGCUUGAAAGAAAAGGAUAGGCUGUGGGUGUGGCAAACUGAUCAAAAGAAAGAUCAGCUACUUGGAUCAACAAGAGUGGUGAAAGGAGGAAGAUGAUCCAAAUAUGUAUAUGGUGACCAUGAGCAUGCAAGCAAAACACAACCAGAUAUUUGCAAGUCAAGAUUAAGUUCUUAUAGGAUAAGGAAUGAGAUCA